rnacentral:rRNA from 1 species
AAUUCGCCCUUAAAGUUUGAUCCUGGCUCAGGAUGAACGCUGGCGGCAUGCCUAAUACAUGCAAGUCAAACGGGUGUAGCANUUCACAAGUGGCGAACGGGUGAGUAACACAUAGACAACCUGUCCUUAAGACGAGGAUAACAGUUGGAAACGACUGCUAAAACUGGAUAGGAUAAAGUAACGCAUGUUAAGAUAUUUAAAGAUGCUUUCGGGCAUUACUUAAGGAGGGGUCUAUGUCGCAUUAACUAGUUGG